AACGCAUUCAACAGUAGGAUCAUUUCUAUAGGAAUCGUCACUCUUUGACUCUUCAAAAGAGCCACUGAAUCCAACUUGGUUGAUGAGCCCCAUAACCUUUGUACCCUAGAGUGAGGAAAUGAAAUUAAAUCUAAAUUAGCUUGGUCCGCAAUCCUUAGCGGUUCGGCCAUCUAUAAUUUUGAAUAAAAAUUUUGCUUUGCCGUUGCAUUUGUAAUUUUUUCCUUUGGAAGUUAUUACGAUAUUUAAUGGCGCGAUGAUCUUGACCCAUCCUAUGUACUUCCUUUUUGGAAGGGAUAGGACUUCAUGGGUGGGUACAAACGGCAGUCUGACAAGU
rnacentral:snoRNA from 1 species